rnacentral:rRNA from 1 species
GACAGAGGUGCCGAGCGUUAGGCGGAAUCACUGGGCUUAAAGCGUGUGUAGGCGGGCUUGUAAGUACCUUGUGAAAUCCCACGGCUCAACCGUGGAACUGCUUGGUAUACUGCGAUUCUUGAGCCACCUAGGGGCAACCGGAACAAAUGGUGGAGCGGUGAAAUGCGUAGAUAUCAUUUGGAACGCCAAUGGUGAAAACAGGUUGCUGGGGGUGUGCUGACGCUGAGACACGAAAGCCAGGGGAGCGAACGGG